rnacentral:rRNA from 1 species
ACGCUGGCGGCAGGCUUAACACAUGCAAGUCGAGCGCCCUGCUUGCAGGGAGCNGNAGACGGGUGAGUAACGCGUGGGAACGUGCCUAUUGGUUCGGAAUAGCCCUGGGAAACUGGGUGUAAUACCGAAUGUGCCCUUCGGGGGAAAGAUUUAUCGCCAAUAGAUCGGCCCGCGUUAGAUUAGCUAGUUGGUGGGGUAAAAGCCUACCAAGGCUACGAUCUAUAGCUGGUCUGAGAGGAUGAUCAGCCACACUGGGACUGAGACACGGCCCAGACUCCUACGGGAGGCAGCAGUGAGGAAUCUUGGACAAUGGGCGAAAGCCUGAUCCAGCCAUGCCGCGUGAAUGAUGAAGGCCUUAGGGUUGUAAAAUUCUUUCAGCAGGGAAGAUAAUGACGGUACCUGCAGAAGAAGCCCCGGCUAACUCCGUGCCAGCAGCCGCGGUAAUACGGAGGGGGCUAGCGUUGUUCGGAAUUACUGGGCGUAAAGCGCUCGUAGGCGGAUUGGUCAGUCAGAGGUGAAAGCCCAGGGCUCAACCUUGGAAUUGCCUUUGAUACUGCCAGUCUUGAGUUCGGGAGAGGUGAGCGGAAUUCCGAGUGUAGAGGUGAAAUUCGUAGAUAUUCGGAGGAACACCAGAGGCGAAGGCGGCUCACUGGACCGAUAC